UACGUAGGGAGCGAGCGUUGUCCGGAUUCAUUGGGCGUAAAGAGCUCGUAGGCGGCUUGGUAAGUCGGAUGUGAAACCUCCAGGCUCAACCUGGAGUCGCCAUCCGAUACUGCCAUGGCUAGAGUCCGGUAGGGGCCCACGGAAUUCCUGGUGUAGCGGUGAAAUGCGCAGAUAUCAGGAGGAACACCGAUGGCGAAGGCAGUGGGCUGGGCCGGCACUGACGCUGAGGGGCGAAAGCGUGGGGAGCGAACAGG
rnacentral:rRNA from 1 species